UUAUUCCUUAUAUUUAAACUUGUGGCCAGAGCUCUUGGUAUAUCCUUUUCAGUGUAUUUUCAACAAGAACUCCAAUUUCUUUAACAAAUGUAAAGAUGGC